AGAUAUGAGAGUGAUCUGGCUGUGACAUCUGUAACCCCAUUGAUCGCCAGGGUUGAUUUGGCUGAUCUGGCUGGCUAUGCAGAUAUCCCCUCCACCUUCAACACUCCAUGUAUGUCCCUCCUGAAGCUACACACUCGGUUGAAGGGAACAACCUUCCCUGAAUAGAGGAGGAGCAGUCUUUGGUCAAGGGUAGACGAGUAGCUGUACUCCGGUGCUAGAACGUUCAAAUAAGAUCCAAAUUCAUUUGAAGGAAAAAAAAGCCUAAACUGAAAAGAUCCUCUGUACCUCAAACGAAACUGCUUAGGAGGUAUUUU
rnacentral:snRNA from 1 species